ACAUUCACUUUCUCUUUCUCAAAUCUGAAAAGUCAUUGUGUCACAUCUCACUUUCUCAGUCUUCUCUUUCUCUCUCAUAAUCUCAGAUCUCCUUCACUGAGUUCACUCAUUUUCCAUUAGUCCUCCAAGAGAAAGGUAAUGGCCGGCAAUGUUCAAGAACUUUCUUCGGGAGAGGAGGAAGAAAUCGAUUCUACCAUGGAGGACAAAGGAAGACCAACAGCAAAAGCCUCAAAACUAGCCCUAAAAAACCUCUUGCUUUGCUCACUGACUGUAUGGAACCUCAAUUGGAAAUGCUUUGUGGUUCAAUUACGAAACUUGAGGUGGGAAACAAGGAAGACACUCCACAUACAUUGCCCGACCUUGACUCAAGGAAAAAACCUAUUGCAUCGUCCAAUAUUAUUUGACAACAUUUUAAAUGAACUUAUGUUUUAGAACUUGGUAGCUUUGGGAACUUAGUUUCUGAUUUGUUAAGAAAACUUGGUUUGUAAUAAUAAUUUAGGUACUUAGACUUGUGGUUUAAUUUGGAUUUUUGAAGCUUUUGAAUGAUUGAAACACCAAACCUAUGUAGUUAUGUUGUAUACUUGUAUUGUUGUUGGGUUAUUUGAGACAUAUUGGGUUUUAAAAAAAAA